rnacentral:rRNA from 1 species
AUGCACGCUGGCGGCGUGCCUCAUCCCUGCCAGUCGCGCGAACAGACGAGGAGCUUGCUCCUCUGACGUUAGCGGCGGACGGGUGAGUAACACGUGGAUAACCUACCUAUAAGACUGGGAUAACUUCGGGAAACCGGAGCUAAUACCGGAUAAUAUAUUGAACCGCAUGGUUCAAUAGUGAAAGACGGUUUUGCUGUCACUUAUAGAUGGAUCCGCGCCGCAUUAGCUAGUUGGUAAGGUAACGGCUUACCAAGGCAACGAUGCGUAGCCGACCUGAGAGGGUGAUCGGCCACACUGGAACUGAGACACGGUCCAGACUCCUACGGGAGGCAGCAGUAGGGAAUCUUCCGCAAUGGGCGAAAGCUUGACGGAGCAACGCCGCGUGAGUGAUGAAGGUCUUCGGAUCGUAAAACUCUGUUAUUAGGGAAGAACAAAUGUGUAAGUAACUAUGCACGUCUUGACGGUACCUAAUCAGAAAGCCACGGCUAACUACGUG